UGUGCGAGACAAGAAGGAUUCACAACUGUUUAAUCAAAUAGGUGAAUGAUUUUGAUUUCACUGGAGGCAAGGUGUUACGGUACAAAACUUUGUCUACUAAAUUUUUGGGGAAGAAAAGUUGGCGUCCAAAUAGUUAGAUCGUAGAGGCUGGAAGCUGGAUUAUGGUCUUUGUUCUCCUUUUGAUUUUUGUUGAGUGGGUUUUGUAGGAGAUAUUUGUAGGUUUCCCUCUCUUUUUAGUUGUACUCUACAAUUUCUUUCUGUAUUUUUCUUUUUUUCCUUAAUAAAAUUUUGAAGUAAUGGAUAUUUUAUUAUGGUAAUCUCAUUUCAAUAGAUAUGAUUAAAUC